AUAUAAGCGUCCUAAGCGAGAAUAACCUCAGUAUUCUACCAUUUACUUGCUGAAUAAGCCUUCAAAAUGUUCAAAAAUCUUUUCGUUUUGUGUCUGGUGUUGCUGAUGGUGGGAAGUAGCCUACAACAGGGUGGUGGUGGCGGACAGGGAGGAGGUGGUGCCGGCGCAGGCGGUCAAGCGGGUGCUGGUGCCGGCUUCGGCUUCGGUAUGAAUGCGGGGGUGGGCGGCGGCGCGGGCGCGGGCGGGCAAGGGGGCGCCAAUGGAGGUGGACAAGGUCGGAAGUGAAACUUUUAGUAGCUGAUGCCCUAUCUUACGCAUACUCAACACAAUCAUUUUAGCUGAAGAAAAAGUACCUAAUAUAAUGUAGUAAAGAUUUAUAGUAAUAAAUGAUACUUUCGUGGCA